CGCGGCCUAUCAGCUUGUUGGUGGGGUAACGGCCUACCAAGGCGACGACGGGUAGCCGGCCUGAGAGGGCGACCGGCCACACUGGGACUGAGACACGGCCCAGACUCCUACGGGAGGCAGCAGUGGGGAAUAUUGCACAAUGGGCGAAAGCCUGAUGCAGCGACGCCGCGUGAGGGAUGACGGCCUUCGGGUUGUAAACCUCUUUCAGCAGGGAAGAAGGCCUUCGGGUGGACGGUACCUGCAGAAGAAGCGCCGGCUAACUACGUGCCAGCAGCCGCGGUAAUACGUAGGGCGCAAGCGUUGUCCGGAAUUAUUGGGCGUAAAGAGCUCGUAGGCGGUUUGUCGCGUCUGGUGUGAAAUCCCGAGGCUCAACCUCGGGCUUGCAUCGGGUACGGGCAGACUAGAGUACUGUAGGGGAGACUGGAAUUCCUGGUGUAGCGGUGGAAUGCGCAGAUAUCAGGAGGAACACCGAUGGCGAAGGCAGGUCUCUGGGCAGUUACUGACGCUGAGGAGCGAAAGCAUGGGGAGCGAACAGGAUUAGAUACCCUGGUAGUCCAUGCCGUAAACGUUGGGCACUAGGUGUGGGGCUCAUUCCACGAGUUCCGUGCCGCAGCUAACGCAUUAAGUGCCCCGCCUGGGGAGUACGG
rnacentral:rRNA from 1 species